rnacentral:rRNA from 1 species
UACGAAGGGGGCUAGCGUUGCUCGGAAUUACUGGGCGUAAAGGGAGCGUAGGCGGACAGUUUAGUCAGAGGUGAAAGCCCAGGGCUCAACCUUGGAAUUGCCUUUGAUACUGACUGACUUGAGUACGGGAGAGGUGUGUGGAACUCCGAGUGUAGAGGUGAAAUUCGUAGAUAUUCGGAAGAACACCAGUGGCGAAGGCGACACACUGGCCCGUUACUGACGCUGAGGCUCGAAAGCGUGGGGAGCAAACAGG